UUUGCUCUAAUUCUGCAAAACAGUCGUUCAAGUACUUUGCUUCAGACUGAAGUGUUUCCAUGGACUUUGCUAGGGUUACUGCCAUUCUUAAAGAUAAACAUUUGCUUACAUGCUUUACUUACUUAGGACUCAACUUCUUACAACAUCUUAUGGUGAAAUCUUUAUGAGGUGCUCAUUGUCUUGGUUCCAACACAUUUAGAAGGCCAGUUAAUGUUUCAAGAAGUGUUCAGCAGCUGUGCUUCACUGAAAAAAACUGAAUUUCUAACUACCAGAGGAAACAUCACUUUGUGCAAGAAGCAGAGCUUUUUCUGGAGGCUGGUUUCAAAGAAAAGCUAUUUUCCAUAUAAAUUAAGGUACAACACACAUCUCAUGAAUCCUCAAUCUUUAGCAGGUAAAACACUUUCUCCACUUCUAUUUGUCACAAACCCACAGAAGGAAGUGGAGUUUUCAAGAGUAACAAGGGAAAACACAGCACAAAACUCUACCAUACUAAGAUUUUACACUGAACACUUGCUAUUCAUUCCCCUGAGAAGCAAUAAGCUACCUGUGAGAGACAUCAGGCAUACUGAGCAAGCACUGCUUGAAAGAACACAGUCUGAUGAGGAAAUACUUUCCAGUUGGAAUACAUGGAUGUUAACACAAUUUCUCUAACUUUUCCGAAGGUUAGAAAAAUCAAACCUCAGCAUCUUGCAGAAUAUAGGCAAAGCACUCCUGAGAAGAUCAAAAGGAUGUGAAGAAAGAUCUUUCAAACUUGCUUCACACAAGUGCAGACUGACUCAGUGAGAGACUGGCGAGACACAAAAUGCUUCUCUGGUGUUCCACCUUGGCACGUUCAGUUCAUAUGCUCAGAGUAAAUACAAAAUAAAGCUGGGAGAUCCACCUCAAGAUGAGAUGGACUACCUACGGUUUUUGUGUCCCUCUCAAUAGCAUUGCCCAUUUUGUAUGAUAACUGUGAUUUUUUAAAAUAAAAGUUAAUAAAUAUAUGUAUUUUUAAAUCCCUUCUAUCAGAAGGACCAAGGACAUUAGCAAUGCCUUCAGUUUCUGUUGCAUUCUUCUUGUGGGCCCAUCAGAGUGUGGCUUUUAGGCAGUUAUUAUGGUCCCAAGCUUGUAAGUACUGGGAGCGUGUGGUAUAAGUGUGCACCUUAUGGUGUGUACUGUGCAAUUUCAAUACAUUCUCUAAACCUUUUGGAAUAUGUAUCAGGUAAUUGGACUUGUAGACCCAGACAUCGCAUUCAGUCCUAUGUGCUUAUAUCUUCUAGAUAGCUGACAAAGCAGGACUUUCAACAAGUAAUCUACAGGUUAUCUAAGACAUAACAUACAGCACUAUCAGAAACCUCAAAGUUACAACUUGCACAAGUCUUACCAUGCAGUACUUCACAGUAAAAGAAAAAUAGUGUUGACAGACACAGCCUGAACUUGUUCUCUCUGUAUUUCUUUUCCGUGUUGAAAUUUUUUUUUUCUUUUUCUUGCAAAAGCAGACUAUUGAACCUUAUCUGUAGGCUUAGAAUUUAUAAUUUUGCUUUUAGACAUAAUUGCAGAAAAAAACAAACAAACAGAGAGAGUAGGUACCUAUCUGCUAUUAAAGCAAGCUCCUAUUAUUAUUGAGAGCAAAUAAAACCUUAAAAAAUUAAGUUGGUUAUUUUUUAUUAAAAAUAACCCAGAGGGUAAGGAGUGUUAAUUACCAAAAUAAAAUGAAAGAAAAUGUAUUUUAAGAAAUUUAUUCAGAAAACUGUUUCAUUAUGAAACCACUGAUGCAAAUUUACAAAAGUUCUAGUAAUAUACUGUUGCUGUUGUACUGAUCUAGAAGCAGUGUCAGUAAUUUGACAGCUGAAAUUAAAAAAUAUAUGUAUCAUAUAGGUAUCAGCAGCUUUAGCAUGUUCUUUGGAGAGACAUACAGAAUUUGUAUAGUUUCAGUAUACUUCCUGGGGUAGUCUGCUGUAAGUUUAGAAACCAACACAAAAAGAAGACAGAAUUUGAAUAAUUAAUCUGGAAUUAAUUUUAAUUCACUAGCUUCCACGUGUAGUAGGUCUGAAAUACCUGAGUAUAAGUAUCAGUGCAUGAUACAAACCAAAAGACUUGAGCCUCCUUGCAAAUUCUGAAAAGACAUCUGCACAGUGUUACAAGCUGAAAGAUAUACACUAUGCAUGAUCUUAACAAAAAUAACUUCCAGUUGUGAAGUUGUUUCUUUUGACCUAAUCUUUGAGUUAAAUUCUAAAUGUACUGAGAUGAAUUUCCCGAAGCCACAGACUUCCCAUGGGACCAAUCCAGCUUUCUCUGAAGCUGAUGGAACGCUAUUGUUCAUUUUCACAUGCAACUUCAUAUCAAAAUUAAUGUAAAGAACAAUUUUUUACCAGCCAUUGUGACUUAUCCAGUCUGCAUACUGUACCUGGGUUUCACUUUCAUUUGACAAGAUUUCCAGAGCUUCAAGAUGAGACAAACCCUGGAACUCAUCAAAAAGCAGUCCAUAAUGUGCUGUCCUUUCAAC